rnacentral:rRNA from 1 species
CCCUUAGAUGCUCUGGGCCGCACGCGCGCUACACUGGUCGAUGCAACGAGUUUCUUUCCUUGGCCGACAGGCCUGGGCAAUCUUUGAACAUCGAUCGUGAUCGGGAUAGAUUCUUGUAAUUUUUGAUCUUAAACGAGGAAUUCCUAGUAAACGCAAGUCAUCAGCUUGCAUUGAUUACGUCCCUGCCCUUUGUACACACCUCCCGUCGCACCUACCGAUUGAAUGGUCCGGUGAAAUCUCCGGACUGGCGUGAGUCGGAGCAAUCUGACAAACACCGGAAAGUUGAUUAAACCUUACCAUUUAGAGGAAGGUGAAGUCGUAACA